CGUACACUCCUGCGGGAGGCAGCAGUGGGGAAUAUUGGACAAUGGGCGCAAGCCUGAUCCAGCCAUGCCGCGUGAGUGAUGAAGGCCCUAGGGUUGUAAAGCUCUUUCACCGGUGAAGAUAAUGACGGUAACCGGAGAAGAAGCCCCGGCUAACUUCGUGCCAGCAGCCGCGGUAAUACGAAGGGGGCUAGCGUUGUUCGGAUUUACUGGGCGUAAAGCGCACGUAGGCGGACUAUUAAGUCAGGGGUGAAAUCCCGGGGCUCAACCCCGGAACUGCCUUUGAUACUGGUAGUCUUGAGUUCGAGAGAGGUGAGUGGAAUUCCGAGUGUAGAGGUGAAAUUCGUAGAUAUUCGGAGGAACACCAGUGGCGAAGGCGGCUCACUGGCUCGAUACUGACGCUGAGGUGCGAAAGCGUGGGGAGCAAACAGGAUUAGAAACCCUGGUAGUCCCAUGA
rnacentral:rRNA from 1 species